rnacentral:hammerhead_ribozyme from 1 species
AUCUAGAUGAAAAGUCCCGAAUAGGACGAAACGCACGUCUUGGAU